GUUUGUGGCAAGACUAAGGGCUUCCGGCCCGGAGUCGCAGCGAAAGCAAGUCCGAAUAGGGCGCAUUAAGUCGCAGGUACUGGACCCGAAGCGGAGGUGACCUACCCUUGGCCAGGUUGAAGCAUGGGUAAAACCAUGUGGAGGACCGAACAGGUGAACGUUGAAAAGUUCUCUGAUGAGCUGAGGGUAGGAGUGAAAGGCUAAUCAAACCCCGUGAUAGCUGGUUCUCUUCGAAAUGCAUUUAGGUGCAGCGUCACGUGCUGAUGCGCGGGGGUAGAGCACUGACAAGGCUAGGGGGCACACCCGCUUACCAAACCUUAUCAAACUCCGAAUACCGUGCAAUGGAACGUGGCAGUGAGACAGUGGGGGAUAAGCUUCAUUGUCGAGAGGGAAACAACCCAGACCAGCAGCUAAGGUGCCUAAAUAACGCUGAGUGGAAAGGAUGUGGGAUUACACAGACAGUGAGGAUGUUGGCUUAGAAGCAGCCACCAUUUAAAAAAUGCGUAAUAGCUUACUCAUCGAGUGAUCCUGCGCCGAAAAUGAUUGGCGAUCAAGCGUUAUACCGAAGCUCUGGACUUUGCCGCAAGGCAGAGUGGUAGAAGAGCGUUGCAUGCGCAUUGAAGGGUGAUGGCGACUGACCCUGGAGCGCAUGCAAGUGAGUAUGCAGACAUGAGUAACGUAAAGCCGGGUGAAAUCCCCGGCCGCCGUAAACCCGAGGUUUCCAGGGCAACGUGUUUCGUCCCUGGGUUAGCCGGGACCUAAGCCGAGGCCGAGAGGCGUAGGCGAUGGAUAUCAGGUUAAUAAUCCUGAGCUCGCGACCCUUAAACUGGGGGGACGCAUGAGAAGAGAUGACCAGGUUAUUGAAUUCCGAGCUGGGUCCACGGACCCAGCGCAUCAUCAAAUCGAGUGCCAAGAAAAGCCCCAGCGUAUGCUAAGCGACCCGUACCGCAAACCGACACAGGUGGGUGGGUAGAAUAUACCAAGGCGUAAGAGUGAAACCUGGUUAAGGAACUCGGCAAAUUAGCCCCGUAACUUCGGAAGAAGGGGUGCCUGCAGCGAUGCAGGCCGCAGAGAAAUGGCCCAACCGACUGUUUAUCAAAAACACAGCACUCUGCAAAGACGCAAGUCGAAGUAUAGGGUGUGACACGUGACCAAUGCCGAAAGAUUAAGGCAAGGGGUUAGCCGCAAGGCGAAGCUCUGAACCCAAGUCCCGGUGAAUGUCGGCCGUAACUAUAACGGUCCUAAGGUAGCGAAAUUCCUUGUCGGGUAAGUUCCGACCUGCACGAAUCGUGAAACGAGUUGGGCACUGUCUCAACCAGGCGCUCAGUGAAAUUGUAGUGGCGGUGAAGAUGCCGCCUACCCGCAGAAGGACGGAAAGACCCUAUAGACCUUAACUGUAAGCUGUCAUUGUUUCUUCGGUUUUAAUGCUCAGAGUAAGUGGGAGACGCUGAAGAUGCCCUUUAGGGGGCAUCCGAGUCAUCAAUGAGACACCACCCUUUGAAACUGGAGGAUCUAACCCUGAGCCGUGAAUCCGGCCAGAGGACCGUGUCAGCCGGUCAGUUUUACUGGGGCGGUAUCCUCCCAAAGAGUAACGGAGGAGCGCGAAGGUGGGCUCAGCCCGGUUGGCAACCGGGUGUCGAGUGCAUGGGCAUAAGCCCGCCUAACUGUGAGACCAACAAGUCGAGCAGAUGCGAAAGCAGGCCCAAGUGAUCCGGCGGUAGAAAGUGGAAUUGCCGUCGCUCAACGGAUAAAAGGUACCUUAGGGAUAACAGGCUGAUCACGCCCAAGAGUUCAUAUCGACGGCGUGGUUUGGCACCUCGAUGUCGGCUCGUCGCAUCCUGGGGCUGGAGAAGGUCCCAAGGGUCCGGCUGUUCGCCGGUUAAAGCGGCACGCGAGCUGGGUUCAGAACGUCGCGAGACAGUUCGGUCCUCUAUCCUCUGUGGGCGUUGGAAAAUUGAGGGGUUCAGACCUUAGUACGAGAGGACCGGGUCUGACGCACCACUGGUGCAUCGGUUGUACUGUCAAGUGCAUGGCCGAGUAGCUAAGUGCGGAAGGGAUAAGCGCUGAAAGCAUCUAAGCGCCAAGCCCAUCCCAAGAUGAGUUUUCCCUAUAGGUUCGUGGAAGACCACCACGUCGAUAGGUCGCAGGUGUAAGUGCAGCAAUGUAUUGAGCCAAGCGAUACUAAUCACCGAUAGACUUCAUC
rnacentral:rRNA from 1 species